rnacentral:lncRNA from 1 species
CGUCAUCAUCACAGGGGUGGGUAGGCCUGAUUCUUAGGAAGAGGUAAGGCUGCACAGUGGGAGUUUUUACCACCCAGGUGAUCUUCCUCCUCCUAUUUGACAGUAAAUGGGCGAGUGCAGUGACCUCCGACCAGGGACCAGACACCUCAGAGAUGCUGCCACAUCAGGCACCAGGAUGAGCACAGAUGCUAUAUGGCUCCAAAGGCCCUUACCUCACUGGUGUUCUGGGGCCUGUUGAAGGAACCCUACAAGCAAGAGAAGUUGGUCAGAAACACAAAGGCCACCAGGACAGAAUUUUGAUGAAGAUCCAGGCUUACCUUAUAUAUCUUUUUGUCAUCAGUGAGAUCCCUCUGAAUCUCAUCACAGAGUGCUGUGAGGUUUUUUUCGGGAGUCACAGUGACUCCCUUCCUUGGUACAAAAUGGCUUUCUGACCCCCAGAGCACACAAACCAGGAGCACGUAUAGGUGCAUGACACCCUUCGAAGGAGACUCCAGCCAAUCUGAGCCCAGGCUCAUGGCUUUUCUGUGGGAAGGGCACCUAUUAUAUACAUGAGUCUAAGGAAAUGCAAACCUCUUAUCAGUCAUCAAUGGCUUCUGAGGAAGACAGAACCUUAUCGCUGGGCAAGAUGUGCUGCUCGUGCAUUUUUAAUGACACAGCACACUUCAUGGAUCCUUGUCUUUACUGAAAUUGAGGCUUGACCUGUGACUGGUGAUUUGGAAUCCAUAUGUGGAGUUGUGGCCUUUCUUCCUGAGUGUGGGCAACGUCUCUGGCCAGGGUGGGUGCCGUGUGCAGGUGCAGGACGGAGAAGAGGGAGCAACUGAUAUGGUGGGCACAGCUUCUGAGUGCCAGCAGGGCCUGCAGCUGCAGGAAGCGGCUUUGCCAGGCCCACGGGCAAGGACAGGGCUGGCCCCUCUGCCCCCGAGUAGACACACUCCCUUCCUUCCCUCCUGGGAGGGACACACAGGACUGGGUCCAGGGAAGAGGCCUUCAGCUUGGCUGUCAUAGCAAGGAGACUGCUUUUCUCUUAGCCAGGUCAUAGGUUUUAGAAGAAAGAACCUGUUGGAUCUAAAACUUGAUGUAAAAAUAAAAACCAGUUCAGAAAAAUGCUAGACUAGACUCGUGUUCCAGCACACUGGGAACUUACACUGUGACUCUCAAAGAUUACGAUCACACAUUUGGGGGAAAGUUGGGUAAAUAUGCUGAGCUCUGACCCCUGUGGUUUGGUUUCUUUUUCUCUGAGUAGUUCGUUCAUCUGCCGAUUUACCUAUAGAGUAGGGCAUGAGAGGGCAGGGCCUGGGCCAGAGAGACAAUGUCCCUUCUCUGGGUUAGACCCCCUGGGAUGGCCCUUCUGUGGGCAGGAGCCCUUGGGCAUCCCAGGAAGAGCAACUGGGUAUAUAGAACGCUGAACCCCGGCCUGGCCCUGACCCCCAGCAGAACCUCAGCUCCCUCCCCUACCACCCCACUUUUCCUCCUCCUGAAAAUAAACCAGAAAAGGACACAAAAUCAGACUUUGAAUAAUUUAUUAUGGCAAAACAUCUUGAAUAA